AUCACCUGGGGAUCUUGUUAAAACAUGGAUUCUGAUUCCAUAGGUUUGGAAUGGAGUCCGAGAUUCUGCGUUUCUAACAAGAUCCCCGUUGAUGCC
rnacentral:miRNA from 1 species